rnacentral:rRNA from 1 species
UGAGGAAUUUUGGACAAUGGGGGAAACCCUGAUCCAGCGACGCCGCGUGAAGGAUGAAGGUCUUCGGAUUGUAAACUUCUUUUAUUCGGGAAUAAGAAACCUAUGGAAACAUAGGGAGUGAAUGUACCGAAUGAAUAAGCCACGGCUAACUUCGUGCCAGCAGCCGCGGUAAUACGAAGGUGGCAAGCGUUACUCGGAAUUACUAGGCGUAAAGGGCAGGUAGGUGGUUUGAUAAGUCUGUUGUGAAAGCUCCCGGCUUAACUGGGAGAGGUCAACAGAGACUAUCAGGCUUGAGUAUAGGAGAGGGUACUGGAAUUCCCGGUGUAGCAGUGAAAUGCGCAGAGAUCGGGAGGAACACCUAUGGCGAAAGCAGGUGCCUGGACUAUUACUGACACUCAGCUGCGAAAGCUAGGGGAGCAAACAGGAUUAGAUACCCUGGUAGUCCAAGCCGUAAACGAUGCACAUUAGACGUGAGGGGUAUCGACCCCCUUCGUGUCGACGCAAACGCAUUAAAUGUGCCGCCUGGGGAGUACGGCCGCAAGGUUGC